rnacentral:rRNA from 1 species
AUUGAACGCUGGCGGAAUGCUUUACACAUGCAAGUCGAACGGCAGCACGGACUUCGGUCUGGUGGCGAGUGGCGAACGGGUGAGUAAUGUAUCGGAACGUGCCCAGUCGUGGGGGAUAACGUAGUGAAAAUUACGCUAAUACCGCAUACGAUCUAUGGAUGAAAGCGGGGGAUCGCAAGACCUCGCGCGAUUGGAGCGGCCGAUAUCAGAUUAGGUAGUUGGUGGGGUAAAGGCCCACCAAGCCAACGAUCUGUAGCUGGUCUGAGAGGACGACCAGCCAACCUGGAACUGAGACACGGUCCAGACUCCUACGGGAGGCAGCAGUGGGGAAUUUUGGACAAUGGGCGAAAGCCAGAUUCAGCCAUUCCGCGUGCAGGAUGAAGGCCCUCGGGUUGUAAACUGCUUUUGUACAGAACGAAAAGGUUUCUACUAAUACUAGGAGCUCAUGACGGUACUGUAAGAAUAAGCACCGGCUAACUACGUGCCAGCAGCCGCCGUAA